rnacentral:lncRNA from 1 species
CAGAAAAAAAAAAGAAUGACCAAUAUUCCUGGGAACUGAUACUUAUACGCCUACUUGUCUACGGUGGGAGUAAGUGUAAGAGCCCAUAUUAUUUUUGGGCCUGGGCCGGCCUCUGGGCCACGGAACCGGCCCGGCUCGUGUGGCAGGGGAGGGAGACCCUGAUCGGAGUCUUCUUCCUCCCCUGUUCCGACUCUCUCCCUCCGAGUCCACCGGAAGGAGGAGUCUAGGGCGAUCAAACCCUACCUAGUUUGCGCCGGUAUACAUUUAUAAAAGAUCCUAUUCCACUCUCCUUUGGCUUCAUCUUUGGAAAUCCUUCCAUUAGAGACUUGGAUCGCUAAGCUUGCCGCGGGAAGAACUCGAAGUGUUCGCCAUCGGUCCGGCCGGAGGAGCUCGCCGGAGGCAAGAUGAGCUCCAUCUCCUUAUUCUCUCCGGUCUUUGGGCCACCGAUCCCCUUGAAUCCGGCCGGCAAGCCGCCGGAUUGAUGUGAAGCCGCACUCCCCUGUUCGGUUUAUUGUUCUUCAGUUUCGGCCGGGCAUCGCCGGGCUUGGCACGCCGCCGGCAUCGAAGGGGCCGAC